rnacentral:rRNA from 1 species
GAUGAACGCUUGCGGCGUGCUUAACACAUGCAAGUCGAACGGAGAUUUACCACCUGCUUGCAGGAGGUAAAUCUUAGUGGCGGACGGGUGAGUAACGCGUGGGUAACCUGCCUCACACAGGGGGAUAACAGUUGGAAACGACUGUUAAUACCGCAUAAGCGCACGGUAUCGCAUGAUACAGUGUGAAAAACUCCGGUGGUGUGAGAUGGACCCGCGUCUGAUUAGCUAGUUGGUGAGGUAACGGCCCACCAAGGCGACGAUCAGUAGCCGGCCUGAGAGGGUAAACGGCCACAUUGGGACUGAGACACGGCCCAAACUCC